rnacentral:rRNA from 1 species
CUUUUUCUUUCACCGGUAGCUCUGCAUACCACCGAAAGAAAAAGAGUGGCGAACGGGUGAGUAACACGUGGGUAACCUGCCCAUCAGAAGGGGAUAACACUUGGAAACAGGUGCUAAUACCGUAUAACACUAUUUUCCGCAUGGAAGAAAGUUGAAAGGCGCUUUUGCGUCACUGAUGGAUGGACCCGCGGUGCAUUAGCUAGUUGGUGAGGUAACGGCUCACCAAGGCCACGAUGCAUAGCCGACCUGAGAGGGUGAUCGGCCACACUGGGACUGAGACACGGCCCAGACUCCUACGGGAGGCAGCAGUAGGGAAUCUUCGGCAAUGGACGAAAGUCUGACCGAGCAACGCCGCGUGAGUGAAGAAGGUUUUCGGAUCGUAAAACUCUGUUGUUAGAGAAGAACAAGGAUGAGAGUAGAACGUUCAUCCCUUGACGGUAUCUAACCAGAAAGCCACGGCUAACUACGUGCCAGCAGCCGCGGUAAUACGUAGGUGGCAAGCGUUGUCCGGAUUUAUUGGGCGUAAAGCGAGCGCAGGCGGUUUCUUAAGUCUGAUGUGAAAGCCCCCGGCUCAACCGGGGAGGGUCAUUGGAAACUGGGAGACUUGAGUGCAGAAGAGGAGAGUGGAAUUCCAUGUGUAGCGGUGAAAUGCGUAGAUAUAUGGAGGAACACCAGUGGCGAAGGCGGCUCUCUGGUCUGUAACUGACGCUGAGGCUCGAAAGCGUGGGGAGCGAACAGGAUUAGAUACCCUGGUAGUCCACGCCGUAAACGAUGAGUGCUAAGUGUUGGAGGGUUUCCGCCCUUCAGUGCUGCAGCAAACGCAUUAAGCACUCCGCCUGGGGAGUACGACCGCAAGGUUGAAACUCAAAGGAAUUGACGGGGGCCCGCACAAGCGGUGGAGCAUGUGGUUUAAUUCGAAGCAACGCGAAGAACCUUACCAGGUCUUGACAUCCUUUGACCACUCUAGAGAUAGAGCUUCCCCUUCGGGGGCAAAGUGACAGGUGGUGCAUGGUUGUCGUCAGCUCGUGUCGUGAGAUGUUGGGUUAAGUCCCGCAACGAGCGCAACCCUUAUUGUUAGUUGCCAUCAUUUAGUUGGGCACUCUAGCGAGACUGCCGGUGACAAACCGGAGGAAGGUGGGGAUGACGUCAAAUCAUCAUGCCCCUUAUGACCUGGGCUACACACGUGCUACAAUGGGAAGUACAACGAGUUGCGAAGUCGCGAGGCUAAGCUAAUCUCUUAAAGCUUCUCUCAGUUCGGAUUGUAGGCUGCAACU